UUUAAUUCGAAGCAACGCGAAGAACCUUACCAGGGCUUGACAUCCCGCUGACCCCUCCAGAGAUGGAGGUUCCCUUCGGGACAGCGGUGACAGGUGGUGCAUGGUUGUCGUCAGCUCGUGUCGUGAGAUGUUGGGUUCAGUCCCGCAACGAGCGCAACCCUUGUCGUUAGUUGCCAGCACUUCGGGUGGGCACUCUAACGAGACAGCCGGUGAAAGUCGGAGGAAGGUGGGGAUGACGUCAAAUCAUCAUGCCCCUUAUGUCCUGGGCUACACACGUGCUACAAUGGCUGGUACAAAGGGCAGCGAACCCGCGAGGGGGAGCCAAUCCCAAAAAGCCAGUCUCAGUUCGGAUCGCAGGCUGCAACUCGCCUGCGUGAAGCCGGAAUCGCUAGUAAUCGCGGAUCAGCAUGCCG
rnacentral:rRNA from 1 species